rnacentral:rRNA from 1 species
UACGUAGGGUCCGAGCGUUGUCCGGAAUUACUGGGCGUAAAGGGCGCGUAGGCGGUUCGUACAGUCAGACGUGAAAUUCCUGGGCUCAACCUGGGAACCGCGCUUGAGACUGGAGAACUAGAGUUCGGGAGAGGAUGGUGGAAUUCCCAGUGUAGAGGUGAAAUUCGUAGAUAUUGGGAAGAACACCGAUGGCGAAGGCAGCCAUCUGGACCGACACUGACGCUGAGGCGCGAAAGCGUGGGGAGCAAACAGG